ensembl:antisense uncharacterized LOC110297770
UGCAGCCUCAGCUCUGGGAAGAGUCAGCACUUGUCAACACGUCUUAUUUCCACACCCUCUGAGAGUCAAGCUAGCUUAGGAUGCUUCCUUUAAGCCUCAGGGGACUCCAUUACUGUCUUCCAGGCUGUGAGCCUUAAACAAAAAAGAAUGAUGGCACCCUCCUGGGUGCUGGAUGUCAAGGACCUGGUGGUGCACGAUACAAAUAUCCAGAGAACUGCUGCAGAGAUCAUCACAUCACUGAGUGCCAUGUCUGCUGUGGAUUUAGGAUAUGAAAUCUUAGAAAGGGAGGAUGCUUGAUUCAAGUUCUCUGCUCAAGCAAGGUCAGGAUGUGGGGUGUGGGGUCAUACCCAUAUGAGGAGUCCAUUCUGCAGGAAAGACCUAUUGCUAUCCUAUGGGUCAGCAGUCACAAGGAGACUGUCCUCCAUACCCAACGAAGCAACAUUGAACAGUCAAUUUCAAGCACAAAUGAGAAUAAUUACUUGGGUACCUUUAU